GUUCAGUUGAAGCUGCUGCCCACCUGUCCAGAGGACACAAUAAAGGAUCACAUCUUACAAAACAUGUACACAACUCUACUGACAUAUUCAACGUAUCAAAUAGGAUAAGAACAAAAAUACUCUACAGCAAUAAUCGAUCAAUAUCAAACACACUUGAAGGUUUCCAGAAACCUUUUAUACGAUCUAGUGGAAAAUGCAGUGCAUCAUGGAUGGGUGGAUAUUGCUCAAGGAUAGAUGCAAAGAGUGAUCAAUAUCACAAUUUUGUACAGAUAUUUAGUCAUUCACAUUGUAGGCAUCAAACUUACUUAAUGCAGUCAUGAUAUGCCCUUGACUAACAAUAGACAACUUGAUCCUUAGGAGAGAGCAUAUCGAAUGCAUCCCAUACUUCCACCCGUACCCCUGUGUAGCUCAGCCCAUAGUCUCAUGCUCCAAGCACCCCAGAGAAACUAGUUCAACUAGUAGGGACCAAUGUUUUCAAGUCGUCCGAUUAAUCGCGAUUAAUCGUCCAAGUCGGUUUGGACCAACUGCAAUUAAUCGCCAAGUCAUCAGACUAAUCAUGAUUAAUCGCGAUUAAUCGCCCAAGUCGGUCAACAAGAACGACCAGCAAGUCGUCCGACUUGAUAGCAUUGGUAGGGACUGUGCUUCAUGCAUUUACAAAGUGGAAUCAACUUCACAAUUUGACUGCUACUGAGAGAACCUUCCCUUCUAUAUAGACCAACUAUUGUCAACUAUGUAUGUACUUUCAUGCAGAAAACAUAUACAGUGCCAUUAGACAAACAACUACUCGAAUUGCACCUAAGAAUACCAAAAAUGGCCAGUAACUUACCCCAGAAGUGGUGGGAUGGCAC
rnacentral:misc_RNA from 1 species